CCUACGGGUGGCUGCAGUGAGGAAUAUUGGUCAAUGGCCGGAAGGCUAAACCAGCCAAGCCGCGUGAAGGACGAAGGUGCCAAGCAUUGUAAACUUCUUUUGUCAAGGGACAAAAUCAGGCUCGAGAGCCUGACCGAGGGUCCUUGAAGAAAAAGCAUCGGCUAACUCCGUGCCAGCAGCCGCGGUAAUACGGAGGAUGCGAGCGUUAUCCGGAUUUAUUGGGUUUAAAGGGUGCGUAGGCGGACUGUUAAGUCAGCGGUAAAAGCCCGGGGCUCAACCCCGGCGAGCCGUUGAAACUGGCUGUAUUGAGAUGGCGAGAGGUAGGCGGAAUGCGCAGUGUAGCGGUGAAAUGCGUAGAGAUUGCGCAGAACUCUGAUUGCGAAGGCAGCAUACCGGCGGCGUUCUGACGCUGAGGCACGAAAGCGUGGGUAUCGAACAGGAUUAGAUACCCCAGUAGUC
rnacentral:rRNA from 1 species